UACGUAGGGGCCGAGCGUUGUCCGGAGUUAUUGGGCGUAAAGCGCGCGCAGGCGGCCUCGCGCGCCCGACGUGAAAGCCCCCGGCUUAACCGGGGAGGGUCGUUGGGGACGGCGGGGCUUGAGGGCGGGAGAGGUCGGUGGAAUUCCCGGUGUAGUGGUGAAAUGCGUAGAGAUCGGGAGGAACACCGGUGGCGAAGGCGGCCGACUGGGCCGACCCUGACGCUGAGGCGCGAAGGCGUGGGGAGCGAACGGG
rnacentral:rRNA from 1 species